rnacentral:lncRNA from 1 species
CUAACUAGAAAGCAAGAGUGUGCUCUGAUGUAAUCCCAGCCCCAGAUCCAGCCCCACCUGUGAACUUUUCACUGGUUUCUUUUUUCUUGGUACUGGGAACUGAAUCCAGGGCUUCAAACAUGCUAGCCCCAUAAACUCUAUGCAUCUGUAUCAGCCCAGUCUUGGAACUUCACUUUCUCCCUUUUUUGUCAUCAACUCCCCCACCCCAAAUGAAGAAGAUGAAGAAGAAGAAGAAAAGAAAAAACGACUGCUGUGCAGACGUUCCAGAUGCAAGCAACAAGCUGAGCUGAUCUUAUCAUCCCUCAGCACAGUUUUACCAAGAUGAAAGCAAGGACUGUUAAAAUAUCUGCUUGUAAUCUUUAUGUGAGAAGUGGCUGGAACUAGGCAUGAAAUGGUACUUCUUGUGCCUGUGACACAGAACAGCCAAGAACCGUCAGAAGUCAGGGCUGUGGCAGCUCUUGGGGCUGAGCCUCUGCAGGGCAGAACCCGGGGCAGAGUGAUUUCUAAGUCCCAACUCUCCAGAGCGGAAAGGGACUUGGUCUGGGUGUCGGGGUUCCUGGGUCCUGGAAUGAUAAUAACAUGUUUGCUGGGGGCUUAGAGUUGAUGAUUGUACAUGUGUUGUCUCCCAUAUUGUGCUACCCGUAGCAGUCUUCCUCAGGUACCGCAUUUCUACUCAUUUUCUCUGGCUUGUUUUAAAUAUCUUUAGGGAGGGUUUUCUAGCACCUCAAAGCAGGCUUAGUUUCUGUAGCAGUCAUGGUGCAUUGAGAUAGACAUUAGUUGUUAAGCACACCAUUUCACUUCCUUUUUUGGUAACAGCCCCUCCUUUCUUUUAGGGAAAAUUUUCCCCUUCCCACGUAGUUCUGGUGGGCUGUUCAUCACAGUACCCUUCCCCUCUCCACACUGGUUGCCAGGAAACCAGGGAAAGCCUAUAUGCUCCCUCCCCAGGGCAGUGAUUGGUCCAUCUGUGGUCAUAUGACCUAAGUAGGGACAAUAAGAGUCUUCUUUGCUAUUGAUCUACAGAUUAGGAGACAGGAAGGGUGUCUUUUGGAUGGGACUGCUAAGUGAGAAGGACUUGCACCUAGGGUUACCAGAGUCUGUCUUUUAUAACACUGUUGAGGAAAACUGUGAGUGUUAGGAGAGACAGAAGCUGGGCAUAAAAGCAGUGAAGAGG